rnacentral:rRNA from 1 species
AGUCGAGCGAACGGACGAGAAGCUUGCUUCUCUGAUGUUAGCGGCGGACGGGUGAGUAACACGUGGAUAACCUACCUAUAAGACUGGGAUAACUUCGGGAAACCGGAGCUAAUACCGGAUAAUAUUUUGAACCGCAUGGUUCAAAAGUGAAAGACGGUCUUGCUGUCACUUAUAGAUGGAUCCGCGCUGCAUUAGCUAGUUGGUAAGGUAACGGCUUACCAAGGCAACGAUGCAUAGCCGACCUGAGAGGGUGAUCGGCCACACUGGAACUGAGACACGGUCCAGACUCCUACGGGAGGCAGCAGUAGGGAAUCUUCCGCAAUGGGCGAAAGCCUGACGGAGCAACGCCGCGUGAGUGAUGAAGGUCUUCGGAUCGUAAAACUCUGUUAUUAGGGAAGAACAUAUGUGUAAGUAACUGUGCACAUCUUGACGGUACCUAAUCAGAAAGCCACGGCUAACUACGUGCCAGCAGCCGCGGUAAUACGUAGGUGGCAAGCGUUAUCCGGAAUUAUUGGGCGUAAAGCGCGCGUAGGCGGUUUUUUAAGUCUGAUGUGAAAGCCCACGGCUCAACCGUGGAGGGUCAUUGGAAACUGGAAAACUUGAGUGCAGAAGAGGAAAGUGGAAUUCCAUGUGUAGCGGUGAAAUGCGCAGAGAUAUGGAGGAACACCAGUGGCGAAGGCGACUUUCUGGUCUGUAA